rnacentral:rRNA from 1 species
GACGAACGCUGGCGGCGUGCUUAACACAUGCAAGUCGAACGGAAAGGCCCUGCUUUUGUGGGGUGCUCGAGUGGCGAACGGGUGUGUAACACGUGUGUAACCUGCCCUUGACUUUGGGAUAACUUCUGGAAACUGGGGCUAAUACCGGAUAGGAGCUCCUGCUGCAUGGUGGGGGUUGGAAAGUUUCGGCGGUUGGGGAUGGACUCGCGGCUUAUCAGCUUGUUGGUGGGGUAGUGGCUUACCAAGGCUUUGACGGGUAGCCGGCCUGUGAGGGUGACCGGGGACAUUGGGACUGAGAGAGGGCCCAGAAGCCAACGGGAGGCAGCAGUGGGGAAUAUGGCACAAUGGGCGGAAGCCUGAUGCAGCAACGCCGCGUGCGGGAUGACGGCCUUCGGGUGGAAAACCGAUGUCGAAGGUGACGAAGCGUGAGUGACGGUAAUGGGUAAAGAAGCACCGGCUAACUACGUG